rnacentral:rRNA from 1 species
GACGAACGCUGGCGGCGUGCUUAACACAUGCAAGUCGAGCGGAAAGGCCCUGCUUUUGUGGGGUGCUCGUUUGGCGCACGGGUGUGUAACACGUGAGUAACCUGCCCUUGACUUUGUGGUAACUUCAGGAAACUGGGGCUAUUACCGGAUAUGAUCUCCUGCUGCAUGUUGUGGGUUGGAAAGUUUCGGCGGUUUGGGAUGGACUCGCGGCUUAUCCGCUGCUUUGUGGGGUUGUGGCUUACCAAGGUUUUCACGGGUAGCCGGCAUGGGAGGGUGACCGGCCCCCAUGGGCCUGCGAUACGGCCCAGAAUGCUACUGGCGGCAGUAGUGGGGAACAUUGCACAAUGGGGGGACGUCUGAAGCAGAAACCUCGGGUGCGGGAAGACGGGCUUUGGGUUGAAAACAGCUUUCGAAUGUACAGAAGACUGAGUGACGGUAAUGGGUAAAGAAGCAACGGCUAACUACGUG